rnacentral:lncRNA from 1 species
GCAUGACCGCCAGCGUGCCCAGGUGAUGAAUGGCCAGAACUGGAUAAAGUACACAGUAAUAACCUCCAGGCAACCUGCAGCACAACGAGGCCUGUGCUGCGGUGUUAAUGUGUCCCGUCGGGUCAGCAGGACGCUCUGGCUCCAUCCGCACCGGCUGCAGCAGGAUCAGGCUCCUCAGGCCCAGCGUGAUGCUGUUUCGCUGCGGUCUGAAAGCAUGCUGCCUUCCCUCUAACGCAGAUCUGUGACAGCCAGCGGGACCCUGGCACUGACCCCUAUAAAUGGACGGCUGUUUGGUGUUGAAAGAUGAUUUUUUUUAAUAUGACUAAUAAAA